CCGCCACCGUCACAGCCAUGGCGGCCACCGAGGGGACACCGGCGGGGACACCACCGGGGACCCUGGGGACACCGGGGACCUUGGGGACACCACCGGGGACCUUGGGGACAGCGGGGACCUUGGGGACACCACCGGGGACCUUGGGGACACCACCGGGGACACUGGCGGGGAUCUUGGGGACAGCGGGGACACCACCGGGGACCUUGGGGACACCACCGGGGACCUUGGGGACAGCGGGGACCUUGGGGACACCACCGGGGACACCGGGAACACCGGGGACAGCGGGGACACCACCGGGAAUCUUGGGGACACCGGGGACAGCGGGGACACCCCCGGGGAUCUUGGGGACACCGGGGACAGCACCGGGGACCUUGGGGACACCAGGGGGGUCACCUGGGCCACCUGACCCCCCGCUGGUGUCCUCGGUGCUGUCCCCGGUGUCCCCUGACCCCCCUGGGGUGUCCCCGGAGGUGUCCCCGGGGGUGUCCCCGCUGUCCCCGGAGGUGUCCCCGGGGGUGUCCCCGGAGCCGUUCGUGCCACCCCUGGACUGCGGCGGUGAUGACGCUCAGGCCGCGGGGCGGGAGCUGCCCCUGGUCCUGCGCCAGAUUUUGGCCGCCUGCGCUCUUCCCGAACUUUUGGAGUCUCCCGCUCUCCCCGAGGCCGUGCGGGACCGGGCCCGGAGCAUCCUGCGGGAAAUGGAUUCCGGGAAUAUCGGGGGAUACAACCACGAGCACCGAUCCCACGGCGUUCCCGGCAGGAUCUCCCGGUUCCUGGAAUUCCGGGAUGGAUUCCCCUGCCAUCCCGGGAACAUCAUCCUGUGCAGCGGCACCGCCACCAUGAUCCCGUUCGUGCUGUCUCUGUUCUCGCUGCCUCCCCCGGCCCUUCCCGCGGGGGUUCUGGUACCGGUUCCGGGCCCGCCGGUUCUCCGGGAGGCCGCGCUGCUGGCGGGGGCGGUUCCGGUUCCGUACGCGCUCUCCGAGCCCCGGGGUUGGGUCCCGGACGAGGCCGCGCUGCUCCGGGAGCUGCGGGGGGCGCGGGGCCGGUGCCGCCCGCGGGUUCUGUGCGUGGUCAAUCCCGGGGACCCCACCGGCCAGGUGCUGAGCCGGGAGCUCCUGGCGGGGCUCGCGCGCCUGGCGGCCGAGGAGGGGCUGCUGCUGCUGGGCCACGAGGUGCAGCAGGAGCGAGCCUUUGAUCCCGAGCGUCCGUUCCUGUCCCUGCGGCGAGUCCUGGCCCAGCUGGGGCCACCCCUGGCCACGAGCGUCCAACUGAUCUCCUUCCACUCCCUGCGGAGCGGAUUCCGGGUGGGAUUCCUGGAGCUGGUGAACGUGGAGCCGCGGCUCCGGCGGCCGUUCCAGCUGGCUCAAUCCAUCCCCCGGCCCUGCGUUCCCGGCCGGAUCCUGCUGGAUCUGCUCCUGGAGCCGCCGGAUCAGCGGGAUCCCAUCCGCAGGGAGCUGGAAAAGCACCGCCGGGAUCUGCUCCAGGACCUGGCCUCCAACGCCCGGCUGCUGCAGCGGGAGCUCGGCCGCGCCCCCGGGAUCCGCUGCCACCCCCCGGCCGCGGGACCCCGCGCGUUCCCCCGGCUCCGGAUCCCCGAACGGGCCCGGAACCGAGCCAGGGCUGUCGCUGCUGCUGCCGCCGCCGGCUCUGGAGCGAGCGCUGCUGCUCCUGCGCCGCUUCCACGCCCAAUUCCUGCGGGAAUUCUCCUGAGCCGGAACCUUCCGGAAGCCGAAUUCCCACCGGGAUUCCCCGGGACCUGGAAAAACUUGGGAAUUCCGACAAAAUUCCUGAUUUUAUUUUGAGUCUCGUGUGGGAUUUGGGUUUUGGGAAUUUGGGAAUCUGGGAUUGGAUUUUUGGGGAAUCUGGGAUUGGAUUUGGGAAUUCUUUGGGGAAUUUUUGGGAAUCUUGAAUUCCCAAAAAUUUGAUUUGGGAAUUCAGGAUUGGAUUCUUUUGGAUUUGCAAUUUUUUUGGAAAUCUGGGGUUGAAUUUUUGGGAAUUUUCUGGGGAUCGUUGGGAAUUCAGGAUGGGGUUUUUUGGAUUUGCAACUUUUUGGAAUCUGGGAUUGGAUUUUUGGGAAUUCCAACAAAAUUCCUGAUUUUAUUUUGAGUCUCAUGUGGGAUUUGGGGUCCGGGAGUGGAUUUGGGAAUUUUUUUGGGAAUUUUUGGGAAUUCAUGAUUAGAUUUUUUUUUGGAUUUGCAAUUUUUUUGGGGAUCUGGGAAUUUUGGGAAUCUGGGGUUGGAUUUUUGGGAAUUUGGGAAUCUGGGAUUGGAUUUUUGGGAAUUCUGACAAAAUUCCUGAUUUUUUUUGAGUCUUGUGUGGGAUUUGGGAAUCUGGGAAUUUAUUUGGCAACUUUUGGGAAUUCAGGAUUGGAUUUGGGAAUUCAGGAUCAGAUUUUUUGGGUUUGCGUUUUUUUAGGGAAUCUGGGGUUGGAUUUUUGGGGAAUCCGGGAGCGGAUUUGGGAAUUUUUUUGGGAAUUUUUGGGAAUCUGAAUUCCCAAAAAUUUGAUUUGGGAAUUCAGGAUUGGAUUCUUUUGAAUUUGCAAUUUUUUUGGAAAUCUGGGAAUUCUGGGAAUCUGGGGUUGGAGUUUUUGGAAAUUUUUUGGGAACCUGGGGUUGGAUUUUUGGGAAUUCUGGGAUUUGGAUUUAGGAAAUUUUAGGGAAUUUGGGGGAAAUUGGGGAAUUCUGGAAAAAAUUUGGGAAAUUUUAAGGAAAUUUGACAGAAAAUGGGGAAAAAAUUGGGGGAAAAUUUGGAUUUUGGGAGCUUGGGAAAGAGAUUGAGAAUCUGGGAUUGGGAAUUUGGGAAUUCCAACAAAAUUCCAGAUUUUAUUUUGAAUCUCAUGGAUUUGGGGGCUGGGAUUGGAUUUUUUGGGAAUUUGGGAAUCUGGGACUGGAUUUUAAUGGUUUGGGAUUGGGAAUUUGGGAAACUGGGAUGGGAUUUUGGAAUUUUUUUUUGGAAUUUUGGGAUUUUUGAUAAAAUUGAGGGAUCAAAUCCCCUUUUCCAGGAACUCCAAAUAUUUCUUCCGGGACCAGAUUUCCUUUUCCGGGGAUCAAAUCCAAAUUUUUGGGAAUAAAAUUCCUUUUUCAAAUAAAAAAGUCUUUUUUUUCCAGGGAUAAAUCAAAUUUCCAGGACCAAAUUCUUAAAGAAAUCCAAGGAUUUCUCCAGUUUUUUUU